GACGAACGCUGGCGGCGUGCCUAACACAUGCAAGUCGAACGGAGUGUCGAACGGGUGAGUAACACGUGGGUGAUCUGCCUUGCACUUCGGGAUAAGCUUGGGAAACUGGGUCUAAUACCGGCAAGUGCAAGAUUAGGUCGCGGCCUAUCAGCUUGUGGGUGGGGUAAUGGCCUACCAAGGCGUCGACGGGUAGCCGGCCUGAGAGGGUGUACGGCCACAGUGGGACUGAGAUGCGGCCCAGACUCCUACGGGAGGCAGCAGUGGGGAAUAGUGCGCAAUGGGCGGAAGCCUGAUGCAGCGACGCCGCGUGGGGGAUGGAGGCCUUCGGGUUGUAAACUCCUUUCGACGGGGACGCGGUACCUGUAUAAGAAGCACCGGCUGACUACGUGCCAGCCGCCGCGGUAAUAC
rnacentral:rRNA from 1 species